GACGAACGCUGGCGGCGUGCCUAAUACAUGCAAGUAGAACGCACAGUUUAUACCGUAGCUUGCUACACCAUAGACUGUGAGUUGCGAACGGGUGAGUAACGCGUAGGUAACCUGCCUGGUAGCGGGGGAUAACUAUUGGAAACGAUAGCUAAUACCGCAUAAUAUUGAUUAUUGCAUGAUAAUUAAUUGAAAGGUGCAAUUGCACCACUACCAGAUGGACCUGCGUUGUAUUAGCUAGUAGGUGAGGUAACGGCUCACCUAGGCGACGAUACAUAGCCGACCUGAGAGGGGGAUCGGCCACACUGGGACUGAGACACGGCCCAGACUCCUACGGGAGGCAGCAGUAGGGAAUCUUCGGCAAUGGACGAAAGUCUGACCGAGCAACGCCGCGUGAGUGAAGAAGGUUUUCGGAUCGUAAAGCUCUGUUGUAAGAGAAGAACGGGUGUGAGAGUGGAAAGUUCACACUGUGACGGUAUCUUACCAGAAAGGGACGGCUAACUACGUG
rnacentral:rRNA from 1 species